rnacentral:rRNA from 1 species
UACGAAGGGGGCGAGCGUUGUUCGGAUUUACUGGGCGUAAAGGGCGCGUAGGCGGCCCUCCUAGUCGCGUGUGAAAGCCCCGGGCUCAACCUGGGAACGGCGCGCGAGACGGGGGGGCUGGAGUUCGGGAGAGGAGCGUGGAAUUCCCAGUGUAGAGGUGAAAUUCGUAGAUAUUGGGAAGAACACCCGUGGCUAAGGCGGCUCUCUAGUACGGUACUGACGCUGAGACGCGAAAGCGUGGGGAGCGAACAGG